UGCGUAACGCGUAUGCAACCUACCAUCAACAGGGGGAUAACACUGAGAAAUUGGUACUAAUACCCCAUAAUAUCUCAUGCGGCAUCGCAUGGGGCUGAAAACUCCGGUGGUUGAUGAUGGGCAUGCGUUGUAUUAGCUGGUUGGUGAGGUAACGGCUCACCAAGGCGACGAUACAUAGGGGGACUGAGAGGUUAACCCCCCACAUUGGUACAGAGACACGGACCAAACUCCUACGGAAGGCAGCAG
rnacentral:rRNA from 1 species